AGACUGUCUUGCGAAUCUGGACAAGAUGGCCCUUCUUGAGUCAGUCUGGACUCCAGACUGAGGUGCACUAGUGAGUCAGGGGAAUGUUGGUGGAAAGGUGGAAGUCGGGAAGGUGACCAGUGGUCAACAGGCUCAAGCCAUCCAGGCACACACACCGUGUGGGUGUGCCCAGCACCUUGGGGGAUGAAGCAGCUUCUAGUAGAGGGACUCCCCUGGAUGGGAAGCCAACAUGCCUGUUGGAAUCCUUUUGUUUCUUCUUCUUGCCAACUUUCUUCCUAGAACGUCCAACUCACUGUUGAAUAGAAAUAUCUCUCGAAGGUGGUAUCCUCGUCUUCCUGUUCAUCUGUGGGCUUUCAUGGGUGUCCUCUAUCGGCAGGAGGUGUCUCUAGUUUGUGUGAAGUUGACAAAGACGAGCAACAUGGACUAUGCCUAGCAGGACACACCUUUAAUGCCUGCAGAGGCAGGAGAAUAUCUAUUAUUUCGAGGAGGGCCGUCUGGUCUACAUAGCAGGAUCUGUUAUGUUGCUCUAGCUGUCCUGGAACUCCAUAUACCAACCAGGCUGGCCCUGAAGUACCAGAAAUCCUCCUGCCUCUGCUUCCCGAGUGCUGGGACCAAAAGUGUGAGCUGCCACCGUACCCAGCUUUAAUAAAUUCUCUCCUUUCUCCCUCCCUCCCUCUCUCUCUCUCCCUCUCUUUCCCUCCCUCCCUCCCUCCCUCCCUCUUUCCCUCCCUCUCUCUCUCCCUCUCUCCCUCUCUUUCUCUCUCCCUCUCUCUCUCUCUCAUCCCAUUAAUUUUAUUCCUCUAAGAGAACCCUGACUUAUGCUGCUAAAGAGACUAAACAGCUUCAG
ensembl:antisense 1700026D11Rik RIKEN cDNA 1700026D11 gene